GGACGAACGCUGGCGGCGUGCCUAAUACAUGCAAGUCGAACGAACGGAGGAAGAGCUUGCUCUUCCAAAGUUAGUGGCGGACGGGUGAGUAACACGUGGGCAACCUGCCUGUAAGUUGGGGAUAACUCCGGGAAACCGGGGCUAAUACCGAAUGAUAAAGUGUGGCGCAUGCCACGCUUUUGAAAGAUGGUUUCGGCUAUCGCUUACAGAUGGGCCCGCGGUGCAUUAGCUAGUUGGUAGGGUAAUGGCCUACCAAGGCAACGAUGCAUAGCCGACCUGAGAGGGUGAUCGGCCACACUGGGACUGAGACACGGCCCAGACUCCUACGGGAGGCAGCAGUAGGGAAUCUUCCGCAAUGGACGAAAGUCUGACGGAGCAACGCCGCGUGUAUGAAGAAGGUUUUCGGAUCGUAAAGUACUGUUGUUAGAGAAGAACAAGGAUAAGAGUAACUGCUUGUCCCUUGACGGUAUCUAAC
rnacentral:rRNA from 1 species